rnacentral:rRNA from 1 species
GAUGAACGCUGGCGGUAUGCUUAACACAUGCAAGUCGAACGGUCACUUCGGUGAUAGUGGCGGACGGGUGAGUAACGCGUGAGAAUCUGUCUUCAGGUCGGGGACAACAGUUAGAAAUGACUGCUAAUACCGGAUGUGCCUUUGGGUGAAAGAUUUAUUGCCUGAAAAAGAGCUCGCGUCAGAUUAGCUAGUAGGUGGUGUAAGAGACUACCUAGGCUCCGAUCUGUAGCUGGUCUGAGAGGACGAUCAGCCACACUGGAACUGAGACACGGUCCAGACUCCUACGGGAGGCAGCAGUGGGGAAUUUUCCGCAAUGGGCGAAAGCCUGACGGAGCAAUACCGCGUGAGGGACGAAGGCUUUUGGGUCGUAAACCUCUUUCCUCAAGGAAGAUGAUGACGGUACUUGAGGAAUAAGCAUCGGCUAACUCUGUG